rnacentral:rRNA from 1 species
GACGAACCGUGCGAACGUUGUUCGGAAUCACUGGGCCUAAAGGGCGCGUAGGCGGCUUUUCAAGUCAGGGGUGAAAUCCGGCAGCUCAACUGUCGAAGUGCCCUUGAUACUGAUGAGCUCGAGGGAGGUAGGGGUGUGUGGAACUUCCGGUGGAGCGGUGAAAUGCGUUGAUAUCGGAAGGAACGCCGGUGGCGAAAGCGACGCACUGGACCUCUUCUGACGCUGAGGCGCGAAAGCCAGGGGAGCAAACGGG